rnacentral:rRNA from 1 species
GUGUGACUGCGUACCUUUUGUAUAAUGGGUCAGCGACUUAUAUUCUGUAGCAAGGUUAACCGUAUAGGGGAGCCGGAGGGAAACCGAGUCUUAACCGGGCGUUAAGUUGCAGGGUAUAGACCCGAAACCCGGUGAUCUAGCCAUGGGCAGGUUGAAGGUUGGGUAACACUAACUGGAGGACCGAACCGACUAAUGUUGAAAAAUUAGCGGAUGACCUGUGGCUGGGGGUGAAAGGCCAAUCAAACCGGGAGAUAGCUGGUUCUCCCCGAAAGCUAUUUAGGUAGCGCCUCGUGAAUUCAUCUCCGGGGGUAGAGCACUGUUUCGGCUAGGGGGCCAUCCCGGCUUACCAACCCGAUGCAAACUGCGAAUACCGGAGAAUGUUAUCACGGGAGACACACGGCGGGUGCUAACGUCCGUCGUGAAGAGGGAAACAACCCAGACCGCCAGCUAAGGUCCCAAAGUCAUGGUUAAGUGGGAAACGAUGUGGGAAGGCCCAGACAGCCAGGAUGUUGGCUUAGAAGCAGCCAUCAUUUAAAGAAAGCGUAAUAGCUCACUGGUCGAGUCGGCCUGCGCGGAAGAUGUAACGGGGCUAAACCAUGCACCGAAGCUGCGGCAGCGAACGUAUCACCCAAGACAACUUUACGGAGUUGACGAUUGACGGAGCGAAGCGACGUCAAAGCGUUCAUUAAAGUCGAGUUGGCUUAGGGAUACGUUCGUUGGGUAGGGGAGCGUUCUGUAAGCCUGUGAAGGUGUGUCGUGAGGCAUGCUGGAGGUAUCAGAAGUGCGAAUGCUGACAUAAGUAACGAUAAAGCGGGUGAAAAGCCCGCUCGCCGGAAGACCAAGGGUUCCUGUCCAACGUUAAUCGGGGCAGGGUGAGUCGACCCCUAAGGCGAGGCCGAAAGGCGUAGUCGAUGGGAAACGGGUUAAUAUUCCCGUACUUGGUGUUACUGCGAAGGGGGGACGGAGAAGGCUAUGUUGGCCGGGCGACGGUUGUCCCGGUUUAAGCGUGUAGGUGUGUGUUCCAGGUAAAUCCGGUUCACUUUAACACUGAGGCGUGACGACGAGGCACUACGGUGCUGAAGCAACAAAUGCCCUGCUUCCAGGAAAA